AUGGCCUCUGGUUUUCUCCGUUAUAGCAGAUUUGUUGACAUACUGACUUUGUUAAACACACAUUGUAUUUCCAGGGUGCUGUUGCUCUCACUGUUGGCCUUCAGCAAGCAUGCUGAGUCUCUUACUUACAGGAGUACCUACUCCAGUGGUAUUAAGCCUUACUCUGGGAUGGCUGAGAAUUUUCCACACAACCAGAAUCCUGUUUUCAGACAUAAGAGCUAUGCACAACCCCGAAGUUCUCUGGGUGUUUAUGGGCCUGAACAUGGGUCACCUGAGAAUUCUUACCCCACUGCUGCAGGUAUGCCUGGUGGUGCUGGUGCUUCCUCUGGUGGGCCAUUAAAUGGUUACCAUCAACAAGGAAGCAUGUCUAGCUACAGAUCUGGCUCAUCACAUUACCAGGGGGAUACUGAUGGUGCCCUCCAGUCCAAAGAUGCCAUGUGGGGUUUAGCUUCACCCCAGAAAAGAAACCGGAUUGACACAGGAAUUGUCUCAAGUUAUCCAAUUGAGAUGCGUUCUGUGCCCCAGUGGCAAAGUAAUGAGCACCAGACCCAGCCACACCCUGAGCGAGAACAGUUUAGCGACUUUCAGUCUCGCCCGCUGCCCCAGCAGCCGCGCUACGAGGCCAGCAAGCCCCAGGCCCGGCCUUUCCCCAGCAGCCGCGCUACGAGGCCAGCAAGCCCCAGGCCCGGCCUUUCCCCAGCAGCCGCGCUACGAGGCCAGCAAGCCCAGGCCCGGCCUUUCCCCCAGCAGCCGCGCUACGAGGCCAGCAAGCCCCAGGCCCGGCCUUUCCCCCAGCAGCCGCGCUACGAGGCCAGCAAGCCCCAGGCCCAUCCGCGCAGUGAGGCCAAUUCUCCAAGUGAAGAUGUGCUGCAAAACAAAGCUAGCAUGUGGGACUUGGCUAUUAACUCCAAUGCUGAUCCAAGAAGUUUGAGACCCAUUCAAGUUUCAUCAAGUUAUCUCUACAGCUGGCCACAGCAACAGGCACCCUUCUACAACAGAUAUUAACAAUAGGUAUUUCUGGAUGGUUGUCUUUUGUUUGUUUUGUUUCUAAGAUGCUAUUUUAAAAAAACACUAACUGGUUUUUGCUCUCCUCAGGUUUCUGACCUCACCUGUGAACAGCUGGUUUUGGCUUGGCAUCAGAUUUUGUGAUAUCAAUAAAGUACACAGAACUACACUCCCUGGCUGCUGUUUAAAGCUCCUUUGACCAUGAGUAAGUUCAGUUUUAUGCAUGCUCUCAUGAUAAACUGAGCUGCUCUAUAGAUCUAGGCUUGUACUGUUGCUACCAUAAUGUUGCCUUCCAGUAUACAAACUGAAGCUGUAAGCCCCAAAGACUGUCACAGAAUUGUCUUACAGUUGUGUAGCUUAGCAAAGCAAAUCUGCUUAGCUUGUCUUAAUGUUUCAACAAGUGUUCAGUGUUCACAACCACAAUUUUCACUUCAAGAACAAGGGGUGGAAACAUGGCAGUUUAAUGCCUUCUAUCAAUGGCAAAAAUUACAGUCCACUCAGGACUACAACCAACCAGAUGCUAAACGAAAAAUGGUGGUAGUCUGCCAAGCAGGUGCUCACUAUCAGGGAAAAUUAGGGAUUAGCAUCAACCAAGGCAGCUCAAAGCACAAGCAGCAAUAUAGCUUUGAAAGGUGUGGGUGUCAGUUUUUGGGUCCCAAUUGUGAACUAUGACCAUUCCUUCAACAUCAGUGUCACAUUAGCUGUUCUCUUUUUCUGCCUUAAAGUAAAUUGUCCUAAUGGGCUCAUAUUAAAGUUUGUUUUUAUUCUAUAGAGAUUCUCAUCUCACUAUUCAUGUGCCAUAUUUGUCCUUAUGCAAGAAGACUUGAGUCUUGAGUAUUAAUAUAAAUAUCUCAUGGAUUUAUGAUAUUCAUCAAAUGCUACUUCUUUGUCUUUUCACUUUUCUGCUGCUUCUUGCCCAAACACCGUCCCACCCCUCCUCCUCUCUGAUAGCUGUUAUUAGUUUAGUCGUCUCCAGUUUGGGGAGAUAAUGACAGUGCUGUUUUUUGGACACUGACUUCCUGUGUGUGUGGUGUUUCUCCCUGUCAUUAAGCAGCAAGUCUGUGUGGUUAAAAUGACACAGCUUUGACUGCAGGAAACACUGCCAACUUCACCAUCCGAUCCCAGCUCCAAUAAACUACUCACUGCUGGUUUUCAGCUUUCAUACUGUCUGUUGCUUGUUUGGGGGUUUCAGCAUAUUUUCCUUUACUUGAGUUUUACAAUAAAGAUAUUAUAGAUAUUUUAUAGCACACUGCUUACAGUACACUGUUGUGGUCUUUGCUUUACAUCAAAUGAAAAUGCACUUUAGUCAAAAGCACAUUGCACUUCAUCUGCAGUGACAUAUUUGUUGUAUGGAUCUUUUACUGGACGUCCCACAAUGUCAUUUAUACAGCGCCAAAUCGCAACAACAGUCACCUCAAGGCGCUUUAUAUUGUAAGGUUAACCCUACAAUAAUACAUACAGAGAAAAACCCAACAAUCAUAUGACCCCCUAUGAGCAAGCACUUUGGCAACAGUGGGAAGGAAAAACUCCCUUUUAACAGGAAGAAACCUCCGGCAGAAACUGCAUGAAAGGCUGUGGUUUGCAAGGUACCAGAUGUAAAGCAACCAAGGCAGAUACAGCUGCUUAAAUCAGUCAAACUCUAUUGAACAUUACUUUUCAAAGUGUUUCACAGAUUAUUAAAAAGCUGAUAAAACAAAUGGCAUGCUUUAAUAACGGACAUAGAAUUAACAAC
rnacentral:lncRNA from 1 species